rnacentral:misc_RNA from 1 species
AAGUCGUAACAAGGUCUCCGUAGGUGAACCUGCGGAGGGAUCAUUACAGAGUUCUUGCCCUUCGGGGUAGAUCUCCCACCCUGUGUUUAUUUACCUUUGUUGCUUUGGCAGGCCCGUCUGGCCCCGUGCUAGACCACCGGCUCCGGCUGGUCCGCGCCUGCCAGAGGACCCCCAACUCUGAUUGUUAGUGAUGUCUGAGUACUAUAAAAUAGUUAAAA